CUUUCGAAAGAAAGAUUAAUACCUGAUAGUAUGGUGAGAUUGCAUGAUAGCACCAUUAAAGAUUUAUUGGUAAACGAUGGGGAUGCGUUCCAUUAGGUAGUAGGCGGGGUAACGGCCCACCUAGCCGACGAUGGAUAGGGGUUCUGAGAGGAAGGUCCCCCACAUUGGAACUGAGACACGGUCCAAACUCCUACGGGAGGCAGCAGUGAGGAAUAUUGGUCAAUGGGCGAGAGCCUGAACCAGCCAAGUAGCGUGAAGGAUGAAGGUCCUACGGAUUGUAAACUUCUUUUAUACGGGAAUAAAGUAUCCUACGUGUAGGAUUUUGUAUGUACCGUAUGAAUAAGCAUCGGCUAACUCCGUGCCAGCAGCCGCGGUAAUACGGAGGAUGCGAGCGUUAUCCGGAUUUAUUGGGUUUAAAGGGAGCGCAGACGGGAGAUUAAGUCAGUUGUGAAAGUUUGCGGCUCAACCGUAAAAUUGCAGUUGAUACUGGUUUCCUUGAGUGCAGUUGAGGCAGGCGGAAUUCGUGGUGUAGCGGUGAAAUGCUUAGAUAUCACGAAGAACCCCGAUUGCGAAGGCAGCACACUAAUCCGUAACUGACGUUCAUGCUCGAAAGUGUGGGUAUCAAACAGGAUUAGAUACCCUGGUAGUCCACACGGUAAACGAUGGAUACUCGCUGUUGGCGAUAUACUGUCAGCGGCUUAGCGAAAGCGUUAAGUAUCCCCCCUCGG
rnacentral:rRNA from 1 species